rnacentral:rRNA from 1 species
UCUUUCCUUCUGUCAAAGCUCGAUGCACCAGUUUCCCAUGGAUCACUGAAGUUAAUCAGUGUUACGCGUGGUUAGUACCCGGAUGGGUGACCAUCUGGGUAACUCAGGCUGGGUGAGGU